UAUACCGUGAAACUGCGAAUGGCUCAUUAAAUCAGUUAUCGUUUAUUUGAUAGUACCUUACUACUUGGACAACCGUGGUAAUUCUAGAGCUAAUACAUGCUGACAACCUCGACUUACGAAGGGGUGUAUUUAUUAGAUAAAAAACCAACGCCCUUCGGGGCUUCUUGGUGAUUCAUAAUAACUUUGCGGAUCGCAUGGCCUUGCGCUAGCGACGGUUCAUUCAAAUUUCUGCCCUAUCAACUUUCGAUGGUAAGGUAUUGGCUUACCAUGGUUUCAACGGGUAACGGGGAAUUAGGGUUCGAUUCCGGAGAGGGAGCCUGAGAAACGGCUACCACAUCCAAGGAAGGCAGCAGGCGCGCAAAUUACCCAAUCCCAAUACGGGGAGGUAGUGACAAUAAAUACUGAUACAGGGCUCUUUUGGGUCUUGUAAUUGGAAUGAGUACAAUUUAAACCUCUUAACGAGGAACAAUUGGAGGGCAAGUCUGGUGCCAGCAGCCGCGGUAAUUCCAGCUCCAAUAGCGUAUAUUAAAGUUGUUGCAGUUAAAAAGCUCGUAGUUGAACCUUGGGUCUGGCUGGCAGGUCCGCCUCACCGCGUGUACUUGUCCGGCCGGGCCUUCCUUCUGGAGAACCUCAUGCCCUUCACUGGGCGUGUUGGGGACCAGGACUUUUACUUUGAAAAAAUUAGAGUGUUCAAAGCAGGCCUUUGCUCGAAUACGUUAGCAUGGAAUAAUAGAAUAGGACGUGCGGUCCUAUUUUGUUGGUUUCUAGGACCGCCGUAAUGAUUAAUAGGGACAGUCGGGGGCAUCAGUAUUCAAUUGUCAGAGGUGAAAUUCUUGGAUUUAUUGAAGACUAACUACUGCGAAAGCAUUUGCCAAGGAUGUUUUCAUUAAUCAGUGAACGAAAGUUAGGGGAUCGAAGACGAUCAGAUACCGUCGUAGUCUUAACCGUAAACUAUGCCGACUAGGGAUCGGGCGAUGUUAUUUUUCUGACUCGCUCGGCACCUUACGAGAAAUCAAAGUUUUUGGG
rnacentral:rRNA from 1 species